rnacentral:rRNA from 1 species
UACGUAGGGGGCAAGCGUUGUCCGGAUUUAUUGGGCGUAAAGCGCGUGUAGGCGGCCAGGUAGGUCGGUUGUGAAAAUUGGAGGCUCAACCUCCAGACGUCGAUCGAAACCAUCUGGCUAGAGUCCGGAAGAGGAGAGUGGAAUUCCUGGUGUAGCGGUGAAAUGCGCAGAUAUCAGGAAGAACACCCGUGGCGAAAGCGGCUCUCUGGGACGGUACUGACGCUGAGACGCGAAAGCGUGGGGAGCGAACAGG